rnacentral:RNase_P_RNA from 1 species
CCAGACGGCUGGACGGCCGCCUUCCGGAGUGAUCCGGGGGGAGGAAAGUCCGGGCUCCACGGAAAUACGGUGCCGGAUAACGUCCGGCGGGGGCGACCCUAGGGAAAGUGCCACAGAAAGCAAACCGCCCGUUCCCCGUUCGCGGGCAGCGGGCAAGGGUGAAAGGGUGCGGCAAGAGCGCACCGCGCCUCCGGCAACGGAGGCGGCACGGUAAACCCCACCGGGAGCAAGACCAAAUAGGGGCGGCACUGUUCCUCCUCGGAGGGACGAAACGCGUUUCCGCGUCGCCGCCCGGGUCGGUCGCGAGAGGCGUCCGGUAACGGGCGUCCCAGAUGAAUGGCCGUCCACCCUUCCUGGAAGGGGGACAGAACCCGGCUUACAGGCCGUCUGGCGCA